rnacentral:lncRNA from 1 species
CUCAGAACCUCUUGACUACUUGUAGACUUUGUCUGCCUUCUCCACAACAGAGUAAAAGGAAUUAUAACAGGCACAGUGAGAAAGGAAUGAAGUGUGCAUUGAAUCUGAAGCUUGGGUGAGGCCUCUCAGCCUUGGGACAGACGGCAACACAGCCAAAGUGCCUCGAGAGAAACAAGGACUGAGUUUUGAAAAGCCUUCUGUGGCCGUUUGCACUCAGCUUUGGUAGUGGUAUGACUAUAUGAUGUGUGGAACUGUUGAAGCCAUCUUGUCACUAUGAGGUCACAACUUCAAGGAUGAGAGGCCCACACACUGUGGAUGCCCAAAUAGAAGGAUGAGAAAAGCCUGGGUUUUUGAUGGCAUUGCUGAGCUUCAGAACAAACCCUAGGCUCACCUAUCUCCAGCCUCUCAUCAAGGAAAACAACAAUUGUCUUUAUGGUUCAAAUCACUCCUACAGCAUUUUCCUGCCCAGACUCUGCAAAACGGACUUGCCCAGCUCUGCAGGCUCCUCCAGCUGCCACUGUUUCUCUUUGGCCUUCUGGUCCCACAUGCCCCUGGCUCAGUCAGAUUUCUUCAGUUCUUUUAUUUUUCUCUCAAACCGUCUUUCUUUAAUUUCUCCUUGCUCUUCACCACAGUGAUAUCCUUUAAGCUUUUUCCUUUCCUUCCAUUUCCUCCCAUUUUCUCUUAUCCCUAUCACUUUCUCCUCCUUUCUUCAUCUACUUCUAUGUUCUGAAAGGCUUCUUGGAUUUUUGAGUAUGGAUGUUUCUAAAACCUAACACAAACUCUGGGAGUCAUGGCUGUCUGACGUAAUCCUACAGGAGUAUUUCACCAGCUACUAUUUUCUGUUCAAACGGGGCAAAGCAGUGGAGACCACCUGAGUGGGGGAACUGCAUUUAUUCAUAUACACAUUUUACAAACCUGUCUUGAGGAUGACUGAAAUUCUAAAUCACUUAGCUAAGAACCAUAAGGGGAGACAAAUUACCUUAUGCUCAUACGUGUCAUAUACGGAGCUUCCAUUGAGGAGGAGCAGGCGGGAAUUGAAACAGGAAAAAUUUCCACUUAUAGCAACACAUGCCCUAGGAGAUAUCACAAUUAAAUAUUGUGUUUCAUCAUAACUGAUUCUAAGCAGCUGAAGUGGACCCAAACGCCAAACCCCCACUGGACUCAACUAAAGACUCUUUCCUCAACAAUGAACGAUGGAUUUGUUUGAACCAACCAGGUACAGACCUUUAGAUUAAUUUCUGGAGUGCUGGUUUUCGAGCCUUAAUCAUUGUGAGCCCCUCUCCAAGAUUAAACAUCCCCGACUCUCCCUCCUCGGCUGACUAUUCAGUGAAUUUCUUCACUUGUGCGUGUUUCCUCGCCUGGCGAGUCAAUAAACGUGGCUUUGUGGCUUUUAUUUAUUUUAUA